GGCAGUGGCAUCCCUGUCCUUGCAGUGUCCACAGUGACUGUGUGUGUGUGUUCUCGGGUCCACAUAAAGGGGCAGAUGCCCUGUGUCCAGCUACAACCCCCUCCCAAAGGAGCCUGCAGCAAAGAAGAAUUGCUGGGAGGAAGAUCACCCUGCUUUAUUGCCUGGGCCUUAAGCCUGCAGGGGUGGGCAGAGAAGACAGACAUGAACUCAGUGGAGUGGGAUGGCUGCCCACGAGCCUGCGGCCCAGGAAAGCCCCCACCAGGAGCAGCGUGCCUCGUCCAAGCUCAGCAUCCCCAAGGCAUCAGUGCCGGGGUGCCAUCACCUCCAAAUGUGUGUGCAAGGCUAGUGUCAUGGGUGUGAGCCAAGUGUGAGCAAGCAGCAAGGGCCGGUGUCUCCCAGCUGCCACCCCUGCCAGGGAUCCUCCCCCUCCCCUGGUGGCAUUGGUCCUGGGAUGGAGCUGGGAAUGGGGUCGGGGAGGCUGAGAGAUGGGAGAGAAGGGGGCUGACCCUGCAGUGCCCCUGAGUUCAGGGCAGUCCCGGCGGCCAAGGGCUUACCUGUGGUGGCAACACGGCAGUCUGUCCUCUCGGUCUUCUGAGCUCUAGGUCCCAGUGCCUGAGUUGAGCGACUGGCAGCCGCCUUUUCCCUCCUUGGGAGGGGCGGGGCCAUGGGGCGGGGCUCAGAGAUGGGGUUCCCAAGAUCCCAAGAGGCCCCAGCAACUGGAGCACGACAGCUGGCCCAGCCCUCGUCCUCAGGUGGGUGGCAGCCCAGGCCUGGGCUCUGAGGGGCACUGCCAAACCAGUGACUCAGCCCCUCACAUCCGGGGCAUGGCCUGGGCCCUAAAGGGCAUCUGCAGCUUGCCUGAGAGGAGGGCAGGAGGUGAGCCUGAGGUCACGGCUCUGGAAAGGAAGUGGGGUGAGGCCCUCAGAUUCCCGGGCCUGCAGUCCCCAGCCAUUGCUCACACACCUCAAAGCC
rnacentral:lncRNA from 1 species